CAAGAAGAAAUGAUAAUUUUCAUAAACUGUGUAAUGGACCAGUAUCAAGUGUGGAACAGCUGUUACGUGCCAACUUUCAAGUUAUGAUAGAGCAGUUGGAAAAGUAACACACAUGCAACUAGAUGUGAUAUACAAGGCUUUCAGAUACUGCUCGACCAACUGUGACUUGAGGGACGAUGUGUGAAACGUUUGCUGUCAUUUCUAUGGAACUGAUGUGGAUGAACCAAUAUUUAGGAAGAUUGCAAGGAAAGGUGGCGCGACAUUAAGUACACACAUAAAAAAAGGCAGAGGAAAGAAAAAAGUAUUGGAAGUUCUACUUGCGCUAAAGACACUGAAUGGGGACUGACUGAUAUGUUCUCG